rnacentral:rRNA from 1 species
AUUGAACGCUGGCGGCAGGCCUAACACAUGCAAGUCGAACGAGUGGCGGACGGGUGAGUAAAGUCUGUGAAACUGCCUGAUGGAGGGGGAUAACUACUGGAAACGGUAGCUAAUACCGCAUACCAUCAGAUGUGCCCAGAUGGGAUUAGCUAGUUGGUGGGGUAACGGAUCACCAAGGCGACGAUCCCUAGCUGGUCUGAGAGGAUGACCAGCCAAACUGGAACGGAGCCACGGUCCAGACUCCUCCGGGAGGCAGCAGUGGGGAAUAUUGCACAAUGGACUCAAGCCUGAUGCAGCCAUGCCGCGUAUAUUAAGAAGGCCUUCGGGUUGUAAAGUACUUUCAGCGGGGAGGCGUUACCCGCAGAAGAAGCACCGGCUAACUCCGUGCCAGCAGCCGCGGUAAUUC